ACAUGCAAGUCGAGGGGCAGCACGGGUAGCAAUAUCUGGUGGCGACCGGCGCACGGGUGCGUAACACGUAUACAAUCUACCCUUGACAGGGGGAUAGCCCUCCGAAAGGAGGAUUAAUACCCCAUAAUAAAUUGAAUGGCAUCAUUUGAUUUUGAAAGUUCCGACGGUUAAGGAUGAGUAUGCGUCUGAUUAGCUAGUUGGUGAGGUAAAGGCUCACCAAGGCAACGAUCAGUAGGGGAUCUGAGAGGACUACCCCCCACACUGGUACUGAGACACGGACCAGACUCCUACGGGAGGCAGCAGUAAGGAAUAUUGGUCAAUGGAGGCAACUCUGAACCAGCCAUGCCGCGUGCAGGAAGACGGCCCUAUGGGUUGUAAACUGCUUUUGUACGGGAGAAAACCCUUUCACGUGUGAGAGGUUGAUAGUACCGUAAGAAUAAGCAUCGGCUAACUUCGUGCCAGCAGCCGCGGUAAGACGAAGGAUGCAAGCGUUAUCCGGAUUCAUUGGGUUUAAAGGGAGCGUAGGUGGACUUGUAAGUCAGUGGUGAAAUCUCUCAGCUUAACUGAGAAACUGCCAUUGAUACUGCAGGUCUUGAGUACAGAUGAUGUGGGCGGAAUAUGACAUGUAGUGGUGAAAUACUUAGAUAUGUCAUAGAACACCGAUUGCGAAGGC
rnacentral:rRNA from 1 species